CCUAUUUAUCUUCUCACAGUCUACUCCAGAUCCGAUCAAGUUCGCUCUUUGUUUUUUUUUUCAACUUCAACCCCAUCAAUUAAGCUCCGUCAUUGUCACAAUUAAAGCCCUUGGCAAACGAAACGUUCUAAGCAUGUGUAAUGGUCUGUUUGGUAGAGUUUUAUUUGAUUCUGUAUUUAACCUGAUUCUAUGAGAGAGGUGAUUCCGUAGGUGAAAGUGGGUUCUCUUGGAUUCUUUAGCAUAGACCUUUAAAAUCACGAUGAAGAAUAACUUUACAGAACCAAGAGAAAUUACCCGUUUCAGCUCUUAAUCUUUUACUUUAUUUUAUAGAAUCGUUUCGUAAAAUCAGCAGAGAGUCACUUCUCUCUGAAAAAACUACUUGACAGACCUGCUGCUGGAUCCAACAGAGAACCAGCUCUCUGAGCUUUGCCAAACAAGACCUAAUAAGAUGUCCAAAUCACCUUUGGUUUCC
rnacentral:lncRNA from 7 species